GGGAAGGCGAGCAGAACCCAGCCUCUGGUCUGCAGACUGGCAGCACCGGCUCCGUGUCAGCCAGCCAGCCAGCCAGCCACCCCGGGGAGGUCGACAGCCCACGCCGGACAGCCCUGCAGAGAGGGCAGCUGAGGCAGAAGGUUACUGCUUCCCAAGCCAAGGGCAGACAGUGGUCCUGGCUCAAUGCCAGCACAUACUCUUCUCCAGACAAAAAGAGAAAAUAUUUCUAAGCUGUACGAACAUUACUUUCACCCACGCUCUCAAACAUAGCUCCAGCCGGGGAUCAAGCAGUGUUGGAUGGCAGAUAAGGAAGUUCUCUGGUUUCAUCUUAUGCAGUAAGGUGGAAGGUGAGCAGCAAACCAGUCACCAGAAGUAACCGUACCAUUGAUUCAAGCAGCUGGAAACUAGCCUGGAGAAUUGGACCCUAUCUCUACCUGAAAAAAAAUCCUGCAAGAUGCUGGGAAAGUUUCAUACAACAAACUUGUAACAAGCUUUCAGAAUCAUGGGUUUCACAGGUCCAGGAACCUGAACCGCAGCCCCGGGAUCUGCUUAGCAAUCAGGAGACUGCUCGCAGUCACCAUCGAGGACGUGAGGUUCCGCACUCCAACCAUGCAAGUUGUAAAGGCAGCGCUAAGCUCUCUGAAAACCAAAAUCAAAAUAAAUUUAAGAAAAAAUUAAAACUGCACCCUAGGUGUCUGAGAGUGGGCAAACAAAAUGGUUUGAUCUCAGUUUCUCUGCAGCUCAGUUGCCCAGCUGUGGAACAGAGAGAACCUCCCUCCCUUCCCACAGGCUUCGUGAAGACAAAUUGCUGUCUGUGAGUUGCCCCAGGAUUGACCUUAAGAGGUGAUAAAUAAUUCUGUGUUCAGAGAGAGGCUCAGCAGAGCACUGCACCACACACCGAAUGCGGAGGCCAGGAUGACGUGCUGCUGGGGAACUCCUUAGAGGGGUUCCAUCAUCCCUGAGCACCACAGGGAAACGUGGUCCUUGGGGCAAGGCAGUGCCGGAUCAGGUAAUUAAAAGAGUUUAUUAAUCUGCGUCCAUAGGCACAAAGAGAGGAAACAAAGAUUGUUUUCAUUUAAUUCUACCUUUAGAAUUCUAGCACUUCCUAACAUUUAGAUACUUAACUUUUCAAUUUCUGUUUAAAAAAAGUUAAAAUAGUUUGUGUGUGCGUGUGCAAUACUAUCCUAAUGGAUUGACGGGCUACUAGUGAGAACAACUGGAGUAACGACUAAUGAUCUAGAUGUUUUUUCUCCAACAGUAAAGAAAUAGGAAAAGCGGGGCCUGCCAUAUCCCAGGCAGGGAUAAAUGUUUCCUUCUAGGAAGAAAAGGUGGGGAGUGGCCAGGAGCAGGUUACCGUGAAAGGUCAUGGAGACCUUUCCGCUUCUAGCAGGACGGAGAGCAUGCCAGCAUGGAUAACAUCAAGAAGAAAAUAACAGUAGUUGAACAGCAUGAUGUGCAGUAAUUCCAGCAGUUCCAGUUUCUCUUUUCAUCAUUUAUUUAAGACUGUGUCUAGACAGUGCAUUACCAUUCACAGAAUUUAUGACUAAUGCCCUGAAAAGCAAAGAUACUGGAAUAAUGUAAACACAGAAAUCACCUAGAAGCCAUACAAAUCCUUUCAUGGUUUAAAAUAUUCCCAAUUAACUUUGACAGGAAAAAGAGUCAACGUGACCACAGUAUUUCAUGGACAAACCUGCCCAGGGUGCCCAUCGACUACGUGGCAAGGGCAGAGCGGAAAUUCUGCAGCUAAGCUUUACAGGAGAUUUUCAGAUGUGUUAAUGUUAGAUGAAAUAAACUCAUCAACAGCUUUCAAGCCUAAAAUAUCCCUAGAGAAGCUUUUAAAAGGCAUAGAAUUAUACUGGGAAAAAAAUAUUUAAAGUGUUACCAGGAUGCAGUUUUUUCCACCCAAGAAGACAGUCUUGAUUUUCAGAGGUUCUGAAACACCUUGAAAAUCCUGAUCACUCAUAGAGUUUCUUGUGCAAAUAGAGACAACCAUAACUAGCUAGUGGUUCUUCAACAUUUAGCAGACACAGCUAUUUCCUUGUACUACAGAAUUAAAAAGCCAUUUUCUCCAAUUGCUUCUCAGCCUUGUCAUUUGAUACAUAUGUGCACACAUGUAUGCAUAUAUAUGUAUACCAAAAAGACCUUACUGAAGUAACUAUUCAACACUAAUUAGAUCUACUGGAGAUUUUCCCCAGCAUAGAACUGCUGCUUGGAAAAUACAUAUGAUCAACAGCGGGUCCAUCGCCAGUCUGAGAAGACUGCCUGGACAUGCUGUAAUUGGCAGGUCAAAUUUUGACACUCCACAACAGUCACAGAGCCAAACAAUUGAAGGAUAAAAUGAAUGAGGGAUUAAGUGUAUCUAAUUAUGCUUUCAUUCCUGUUCUCCAGCAAAUCAUUUUAAGAACAAGUACAACACAACAACCACUUCUGUGUUCCUGUUUUUCUGUUAAAGGAAUCUUCCUGCUAGACACAGUAUUCUACUAGUAACUAUUGAGAAAAUGCCUUGCAAAAAUUGUUUGGAAGUUCAUUUUCCAAUGCUCUGAAGCAUUGCUCUUAAAAGUAGGAUGAACGCAUUGUUCUUUACAGAUCCCGUGAUGAGACACAUGGCUAAUACCCUCAUGUCACAUUAUAUGAUCUGAUGCAGGAGCAGGCUCGGGGACAUUCCCAUAGAACUGAGUCACCCAAGUCUUAUGACCCAAAGCAAGGGCCAGGGCUGAAAUAGGACCUUUCCUUUUCAAUCUUUUGUUACAGCGUUGAGACUAUGUAAAUUGCCAGGAUGAUAACUUGAAAAGGGGAA